GUUAUUUUAGUUUAUUAAAACAACACAUUUUCAUUGUGUAGAUGAAUUUUUUUCUUAUAAUU
rnacentral:tRNA from 1 species